UUCGUAGGCGGUGCGGCAAGUCGGAAGUGAAAUCCCUGGGCUUAACUCAGGGGCUGCUCCCGAAACUGCCGUGCUCGAGUGCGGGAGAGGCGAGUGGAAUUGCAGGUGUAGCGGUGAAAUGCGUAGAUAUCUGCAGGAACACCCGUGGCGAAGGCGGCUCGCUGGACCGCAACUGACGCUGAGGAACGAAAGCUAGGGGAGCAAACAGGAUUAGAUACCCUGGUAGUCCUAGCCCUAAACCAUCAGGACUUGGGGUGCAUCCCGUUCGGGGUGCGUCCCGGAGCUAACGCGUUAAGUCCUGCGCCUGGGGAUACGGUCGCAAGGCUGAA
rnacentral:rRNA from 1 species